AUUGAACGCUGGCGGCAGGCCUAACACAUGCAAGUCGAGCGGAUGAAGGGAGCUUGCUCCUGGAUUCAGCGGCGGACGGGUGAGUAAUGCCUAGGAAUCUGCCUGGUAGUGGGGGAUAACGUCCGGAAACGGGCGCUAAUACCGCAUACGUCCUGAGGGAGAAAGUGGGGGAUCUUCGGACCUCACGCUAUCAGAUGAGCCUAGGUCGGAUUAGCUAGUUGGUGGGGUAAAGGCCUACCAAGGCGACGAUCCGUAACUGGUCUGAGAGGAUGAUCAGUCACACUGGAACUGAGACACGGUCCAGACUCCUACGGGAGGCAGCAGUGGGGAAUAUUGGACAAUGGGCGAAAGCCUGAUCCAGCCAUGCCGCGUGUGUGAAGAAGGUCUUCGGAUUGUAAAGCACUUUAAGUUGGGAGGAAGUGCAGUAAGUUAAUACCUUGCUGUUUUGACGUUACCAACAGAAUAGGCACCGGCUAACUUCGUG
rnacentral:rRNA from 1 species